rnacentral:rRNA from 1 species
GGCGAACGGGUGAGUAAUGUAUCGGAACGUGCCCAGUCGUGGGGGAUAACGUAGUGAAAAUUACGCUAAUACCGCAUACGAUCUAUGGAUGAAAGCGGGGGAUCGCAAGACCUCGCGCGAUUGGAGCGGCCGAUAUCAGAUUAGGUAGUUGGUAGGGUAAAGGCCUACCAAGCCAACGAUCUGUAGCUGGUCUGAGAGGACGACCAGCCACACUGGAACUGAGACACGGUCCAGACUCCUACGGGAGGCAGCAGUGGGGAAUUUUGGACAAUGGGCGAACGCCUGAUCCAGCCAUUCCGCGUGCAGGAUGAAGGCCCUCGGGUUGUAAACUGCUUUUGUACAGAACGAAAAGGUUUCUACUAAUACUAGGAGCUCAUGACGGUACUGUAAGAAUAAGCACCGGCUAACUACGUGCCAGCAGCCGCGGUAAUACGUAGGGUGCAAGCGUUAAUCGGAAUUACUGGGCGUAAAGCGUGCGCAGGCGGUUAUAUAAGUCAGAUGUGAAAUCCCCGGGCUCAACCUGGGAACUGCAUUUGAGACUGUAUAGCUAGAGUACGGCAGAGGGGGAUGGAAUUCCGCGUGUAGCAGUGAAAUGCGUAGAUAUGCGGAGGAACACCGAUGGCGAAGGCAAUCCCCUGGGCCUGUACUGACGCUCAUGCACGAAAGCGUGGGGAGCAAACAGGAUUAGAUACCCUGGUAGUCCACGCCCUAAACGAUGUCAACUGGUUGUUGGGUCUUAACUGACUCAGUAACGAAGCUAACGCGUGAAGUGACCG